rnacentral:rRNA from 1 species
AUUGAACGCUGGCGGCAUGCUUUACACAUGCAAGUCGAACGGUAACAGGUCUUCGGAUGCUGACGAGUGGCGAACGGGUGAGUAAUACAUCGGAACGUGCCUAGUAGUGGGGGAUAACUACUCGAAAGAGUAGCUAAUACCGCAUGAGAUCUACGGAUGAAAGCAGGGGACCUUCGGGCCUUGUGCUACUAGAGCGGCUGAUGGCAGAUUAGGUAGUUGGUGGGGUAAAGGCUUACCAAGCCUGCGAUCUGUAGCUGGUCUGAGAGGACGACCAGCCACACUGGGACUGAGACACGGCCCAGACUCCUACGGGAGGCAGCAGUGGGGAAUUUUGGACAAUGGGCGAAAGCCUGAUCCAGCAAUGCCGCGUGCAGGAUGAAGGCCCUCGGGUUGUAAACUGCUUUUGUACGGAAUGAAAAGCCUGGGGCUAAUAUCCCCGGGUCAUGACGGUACCGUAAGAAUAAGCACCGGCUAACUACGUGCCAGCAGCCGCGGUAAUACGUAGGGUGCAAGCGUUAAUCGGAAUUACUGGGCGUAAAGCGUGCGCAGGCGGUUUUGUAAGACAGUGGUGAAAUCCCCGGGCUCAACCUGGGAACUGCCAUUGUGACUGCAAGGCUAGAG